ACUAACUAGGAUUCCCUUAGUAGCGGCGAGCGAACAGGGAAAAGCCCAGCGCCGAAUCGCGUGGCCGGCAACGGUCGCUGCGAAAUGUGGUGUUUAGGAGGGUCCGCUAUCCCGCGGUUGUACGACGCGUCUAAGUCUUUCUUGAACGGGGCCAUUUACCCAUAGAGGGUGCCAGGCCCGUAAGACCGCCGUCGGCCGCGGGAGGACUUCUCCUUCGAGUCGGGUUGCUUGAGAGUGCAGCCCUAAGCAGGUGGUAAACUCCAUCUAAGGCUAAAUAUGACCACGAGACCGAUAGCGAACAAGUACCGUGAGGGAAAGUUGAAAAGAACUUUGAAGAGAGAGUUCAAAAGUACGUGAAACCGUUCAGGGGUAAACCUGAGAAACCCGAAAGUUCGAAUGGGGAGAUUCAUGCGUGGUUCUCGCUGACCGGCGCACGGUGGUCGCUGAGACGGGCGUCGCUUCGGCGGCGUUCGCUCCGGCCUCCUGUCGAACCGGCCGCGAACGCGUGCACUUCUCCACCUAGUAGGACGUCGCGACUCGUUGGGUGCCGGCCUAAGGCCCGGUGGGUAGCCCGCGCGCUGCUUCGCGCAACGCACGGACCCCCGGUGUCCCGGCCGGCUCGCUCGACGGUAGACAUAUGGCGCGGGGCCGCAACUUGUUUGCGCUCGGCCCGCCGCAAGUGCGUGCGGUCACCCGGAAUUCGGACUUAGUGCCGAAUCUGGGCCCGCUCGACUGCUGGCGGCGGUGUUCUCGGGCAGACUCCGAAUACACGCCAGUCUGCGACGAUUCGCUUUGGGUACUUUCAGGGCCCGUCUUGAAACACGGACCAAGGAGUCUAGCAUGUGCGCGAGUCAUUGGGACAAUGCGAAACCUAAAGGCGAAAUGAAAGUGAAGGCUGGCGACUCGGUUCGCCGACCGUCAGCCGAGGGAGGAUGGGCCGCGCCACGGCACGGCCCCGCACUCCCGGGGCGUCUCGUUCUCAUUGCGAGAUGAGGCGCACCUAGAGCGUACACGCUGGGACCCGAAAGAUGGUGAACUAUGCCUGGUCAGGACGAAGUCAGGGGAAACCCUGAUGGAGGUCCGUAGCGAUUCUGACGUGCAAAUCGAUCGUCGGAACUGGGUAUAGCGGCGAAAGACUAAUCGAACCAUCUAGUAGCUGGUUCCCUCCGAAGUUUCCCUCAGGAUAGCUGGCGCUCAUAUAUGUGAGUUUCAUCCGGUAAAGCGAAUGAUUAGAGGCAUUGGGGCCGAAACGGCCUCAACCUAUUCUCAAACUUUAAAUGGGUGAGAUCUCCGGCUUGCUUGAUCGCCGAAGCCGUGAGAUAGAAUCAGAG
rnacentral:rRNA from 1 species